rnacentral:rRNA from 1 species
UACGUAGGGUGCGAGCGUUAAUCGGAAUUACUGGGCGUAAAGCGUGCGUAGGCGGUUCGUUAAGCCAGCUGUGAAAGCCCCGGGCUCAACCUGGGAACUGCGGUUGAAACUGGCGAACUAGAAUCUGGCAGAGGGGGGUGGAAUUCCACGUGUAGCAGUGAAAUGCGUAGAGAUGUGGAGGAACACCGAUGGCGAAGGCAGCCCCCUGGGCUGAGAUUGACGCUCAGGCACGAAAGCGUGGGGAGCAAACAGG